AACGAACGCUGGCGGCAUGCCUAACACAUGCAAGUCGAACGAGACCUUCGGGUCUAGUGGCGCACGGGUGCGUAACGCGUGGGAACCUGCCCUUAGGUUCGGAAUAACUCCCCGAAAGGGGUGCUAAUACCGGACAAUGUCUUCGGACCAACGAUUUAUCGCCUUUGGAUGGGCCCGCGUUGGAUUAGCUAGUUGGUAGGGUAAAAGCCUACCAAGGCGACGAUCCAUAGCUGGUCUGGGAGGAUGAUCAGCCACACUGGGACUGAGACACGGCCCAGACUCCUACGGGAGGCAGCAGUGGGGAAUAUUGGACAAUGGGCGAAAGCCUGAUCCAGCAAUGCCGCGUGAGUGAUGAAGGCCUUAGGGUUGUAAAGCUCUUUUACCCGGGAUGAUAAUGACAGUACCGGGAGAAUAAGCUCCGGCUAACUCCGUG
rnacentral:rRNA from 1 species